CCUACGGGAGGCAGCAGUAGGGAAUCUUCCACAAUGGACGAAAGUCUGAUGGAGCAACGCCGCGUGAGCGAUGAAGGCCUUCGGGUCGUAAAGCUCUGUUGUUAGGGAAGAACAAGUACCGGAGUAACUGCCGGUACCUUGACGGUACCUAACCAGAAAGCCACGGCUAACUACGUGCCAGCAGCCGCGGUAAUACGUAGGUGGCAAGCGUUGUCCGGAAUUAUUGGGCGUAAAGCGCGCGCAGGCGGUCCUUUAAGUCUGAUGUGAAAGCCCACGGCUCAACCGUGGAGGGUCAUUGGAAACUGGGGGACUUGAGUGCAGAAGAGGAAAGCGGAAUUCCACGUGUAGCGGUGAAAUGCGUAGAGAUGUGGAGGAACACCAGUGGCGAAGGCGGCUUUCUGGUCUGUAACUGACGCUGAGGCGCGAAAGCGUGGGGAGCAAACAGGAUUAGAUACCCUGGUAGUCCACGCCGUAAACGAUGAGUGCUAAGUGUUAGAGGGUUUCCACCCUUUAGUGCUGCAGCUAACGCAUUAAGCACUCCGCCUGGGGAGUACGGCCGCAAGGCUGAAACUCAAAGGAAUUGACGG
rnacentral:rRNA from 1 species